rnacentral:lncRNA from 1 species
CCCCAUGCUCCUCCUCACCCCCCCAUACCAUUUACUCUUAUCUCUUCACGGACACUACAGAUCCUUUACUCCAACCUGUACACAGACCACCUUUACUAAACGCACUCAGGACACAAAGGACUUCUCAAUCAGCUGACCCGCAACCGGGCAGGGAAGUGGAACUUCCAUCUGGACCAGCAGUCACCACAGAAUAGAGGGACAGAAACAGAGGACAAAGGAGAAAGAGGAGCCCCACCGAUGAGAGGCAUGGGUGGAAAGGAGAAGAAGAUUUUAGGCAUUGCUAAUGGGCCGAAAUACCAGGGGUCAGACAAAAAGCCUCCUCUGUGCUGCGAGGGUGGUGGUAGUGAAUCGACCCCAGGAAGCAGGAAGCAGAAAUGGACAGUCUGCCAGGAAGUGGAGGUGCCACAGUCUCCACCCCUUCCACACAUCCCCGCUGCUGGGGAUAAAAUGGAGGGACUGAAGGUGAUCCGUAAUCGUGGCAACAGCCUCCGUCUGGGUCGUCUGGAGUUCUUCAGACACCUGGAGAAGGUGGAGACCAUGAGGAGUUUCUGGGAGCUGAAGCUUGUGGAGCUGGAGAGAGGCCCACAACAGGCUAACCUCAAGCCUCACCUGUUGCCUGACACACAGCAGAAAGGGAAGAAUGGAACCUGCCAUCAGGUAGCACUGCUCGCCUUUUUUACAACCUCAGAGCAGCGUUUCAGACCGAGCUAAGCUUCAAACAUCUAUCCAAGAGCUUUUGCCUGCCUGUGGUUACAUGUGUGUUUGUGAAUGUUUGCGUCUGUGUAUGCAUUUCUUCCUGUGUGUUUCAUAGAGCAAAGCCGCAGCUACUUUAAGACAGUGGCAUUGUACUGCCCUCCGCUGGUGAAACGGUGGUUUAAAUAAGUCAAUCCUAAAGGUGAGCUGACUACUGGGUAAUGGCUGGGAAGGGAAUGAACAUAGUAGGCAGUGACUUACACCACCUGUGUGAUAAGGAGACCUCCAAGGCCUUAAAAUAAUGUGCAUUUAAAAAGAUUAUAGAGUGCCUUCCUAAAGAAUUCAGACCCUUUCCCUUUCUUCAGGUUUUUCUGUUACAUACUACAUUUAUAAUUGAUGACAAAUUGUUUGCCGUCAUGUCUACACAAGCGACAACAAGUUUUUUAGAAAUUAGUGCCAAAUUCUUUAAGAAAUUCAUGUAUUUACAUAAGUAUUCAG